GACGAACGCUGGCGGCGUGCUUAACACAUGCAAGUCGAACGGUGAAGGGACCGGUUUUUGCUGGUUCUGGAUGAGUGGCGAACGGGUGAGUAACACGUGAGUAACCUGCCCCCUUCUUCUGGAUAACCGCAUGAAAGUGUGGCUAAUACGGGAUAUUCUGCGCCUGCUGCAUGGUGGGUGUGGGAAAGAUAUUGUUUCGGUGGGGGAUGGGCUCGCGGCCUAUCAGCUUGUUGGUGGGGUGAUGGCCUACCAAGGCGGUGACGGGUAGCCGGCCUGAGAGGGUGGACGGUCACACUGGGACUGAGACACGGCCCAGACUCCUACGGGAGGCAGCAGUGGGGGAUAUUGCACAAUGGGCGCAAGCCUGAUGCAGCGACGCCGCGUGAGGGAUGGAGGCCUUCGGGUUGUAAACCUCUUUCGCCAGUGAAGCAGGCCUGUCCCUUUUGUGGGUGGGUUGACGGUAGCUGGAUAAGAAGCGCCGGCUAACUACGUG
rnacentral:rRNA from 1 species